AGGACCACCAGGGCUACCAGGACCUAGAGGAAGCAAAGGAGACCUUGGCCUGCCUGGUAUCACUGGUCCAACGGGUGAUACAGGUGUAAAAGGAGUGACUGGCCUCCCAGGGUUUAAUGGUAUGAAGGGAGAAACUGGAAACCAAGGUCUUCAAGGUCAAAAGGGUGUCAAAGGCAAUAUGGGAGAGACUGGACCAAAAGGACAAACUGGAGGUCCGGGAACAAAGGGAGACAAAGGAGAGUG